CCUACGGGAGGCAGCAGUGAGGAAUAUUGGUCAAUGGGCGAGAGCCUGAACCAGCCAAGUCGCGUGAAGGAUGAAGGAUCUAUGGUUUGUAAACUUCUUUUAUAUGGGCAUAUAGUGAGGAACGUGUUCCUUUUUGUAUGUACCAUAUGAAUAAGCAUCGGCUAACUCCGUGCCAGCAGCCGCGGUAAUACGGAGGAUGCGAGCGUUAUCCGGAUUUAUUGGGUUUAAAGGGUGCGUAGGUGGUUAAUUAAGUCAGCGGUGAAAGUUUGUGGCUCAACCAUAAAAUUGCCGUUGAAACUGGUUGACUUGAGUAUAGUAGAGGUAGGCGGAAUGCGUGGUGUAGCGGUGAAAUGCAUAGAUAUCACGCAGAACUCCGAUUGCGAAGGCAGCUUACUAAACUAUAACUGACACUGAAGCACGAAAGCGUGGGGAGCAAACAGGAUUAGAUACCCCGGUAGUC
rnacentral:rRNA from 1 species